UGUGUGUUUUUGUGUGUGUGUGUGUGUGUGUGUGUGUGUGUAUAUAUAUAUACACACACAUACACAUAUACAGUAUAUAUG